rnacentral:tRNA from 1 species
GGCCCGGCAGCUCAAUUCGGCCGAGCACCUGACUGUCUCUCAGCGGGUUGUGGGUUCGAACCCCAUCCGGGUCG